rnacentral:lncRNA from 1 species
CUAGCAUUUUUUAGAAUUCCUGCACUAUCAGCUGGGUGUGGUGGCUCACACCUGUAAUCCCAGCACUUUGGGAGGACAAGGGCGGUGUGGAUCACCUGAGGUCAGGAGUUCAAGACCAGCCUGGCCAACACAGUAAAACCUCAUCUCUACUAAAAACACAAACAUUAGCAUGAUGCAGGUGCCUGUAAUCCCAGCUACGCAGGAGGCUGAGGCAAGAGAAUUGCUUGAACCUGAGAGAUGGAGGUUGCACUGAACCGAGAUCGCACCACUGCACUCCAGCCUGGGCAACAGAGCAACACUGUAUCUCAAAAAAAAAAAAAAGAAAGAAAAGGAAAAGAAAUCCUGCACUAUAGAAUUUUAAAAGUAGAAGAGGUCUUUCCAACAUGUCUAAUCAGGAGUUUUCCUGGAGAAAGCAGCAUUUGCAGUGGGGCCAAAGGGGUGAGGAGGAUCUCACGGUGAAGCCCUCUAAACGAAGGGUCAGAGGCAGGAAGGGACACUCCAGGAUCAGCGGCCAGUCCUGCUUGGCUGUGUGAGGAAAGGGGUGGAGGAGCUGCCUGGAAGGAAAGGCCAGGCCGGCAAGGUCAAGGGCCUGCAGGGACUCCUCACCAAAAGAUGACAUCUGAGCUACAGUCCGUGAAGGGCCUACCAGAGAGCCCCUCUCUCACCACCUCCUGCCACCCCAAAUUUCUGGCUGUCCCUGUUAUGCCAAGUGGCUGUCACCUCCAGACCAGUUCUAGACCUAGACAACCUCGCUCCACUGGCUUCCACUUAGGUCCAGGUCCAGUGGCAGCCCCUGCAGAAAGCCUUUACUGUCCAGCCUCCCCACCUGAAAAGAGGUAUCUGCCUGCCCCAUGCUCCUUCCCUCUGGGCCGCAUCCCUCUGGUGUGGCUGGAGUCUGUCUACGGGGUCUCACCAGAGUCACCUGCAGGGAUCAUCCUGGGCCCAACGGCUGGAGCUGGACCCUGCACAUCUAACCAGCAUCUCAGCUAAGCUCGACCAGAAGCAGAGGCCCAGGGAGUCCGUUAUACGGGCCACACAGGUCGGCCUCCAGAACAUGAAGUAGAAUCCAGAAGGUAGACGAAUCUGGAGGAGCAGCCAGAGGCCCAGCACCAUCCCAGGCAGCAAGGAGCAGAGAGAGCUGAACUGAACCACAUCCCCCAUCACUGCCCCACGCCGCCCUGGUGCCUCCAGGAGUGCAUGAAGUAUGGCCCUGCGUGGGCUCUCAGCGUCUUUUGAGUAAAUGAAUGAAUUCAUGUACUGCAAGUAUAAUGCCUGUGGACACUGGGAUCAGGCCUGGGUUUGAAUUCCAGCUUCCUUGCUUAGGAACGGGUGACCUUGUACAACUCACUUCAUCUCUCUGAGCCUGUUUCCUCGGCUGUAAAUGGUGGGUAAUCAUAGCACCUGCCUCGCUUCCCUGAGGUAAG